CCUACGGGCGGCAGCAGUGAGGAAUAUUGGUCAAUGGCCGAGAGGCUGAACCAGCCAAGUCGCGUGAGGGAAGACUGCCCUACGGGUUGUAAACCUCUUUUGUCGGGGUGCAAAGCGAACCACGUGUGGCUCAUUGAGAGUACUCUAAGAAAAAGCAUCGGCUAACUCCGUGCCAGCAGCCGCGGUAAUACGGAGGAUGCGAGCGUUAUCCGGAUUUAUUGGGUUUAAAGGGUGCGCAGGCGGAUGUGAAAGUCAGCGGUAAAAUUUCGGGGCUCAACGCCGUACUGCCGUUGAAACUGCAUGCCUUGAGUGCGCGAGAGGUAUGCGGAAUGCGUGGUGUAGCGGUGAAAUGCAUAGAUAUCACGCAGAACUCCGAUUGCGAAGGCAGCAUACCGGAGCGCAACUGACGCUGAUGCACGAAAGCGUGGGUAUCGAACAGGAUUAGAUACCCUUGUAGUC
rnacentral:rRNA from 1 species